rnacentral:rRNA from 1 species
GCACAGCCGAACCCGCGUGUAAUAGCGAACGCCUUCGGGUAGUAAACCAUCUUUCAGCAGGGACGAAGCGAAAGUGACGGUACCUGCAGAAGAAGGUCCGGCCAACUACGUGCCAGCAGCCGCGGUAAUA